rnacentral:lncRNA from 1 species
GAUUAAAGAUGGUGGAGGAGCUGGAAGGACCUGGGGCACUAGGGUCUCAAGUCCCCAAUGCCACCGGAAAAAAAAAAAGCGUGACUGAAAAGGGAGAUCCACCUCCAACCUCUUGGAAACUGAUGCAGUUCAGCUGGAGACCACCAGACCUUCCCGGGAGCUGGGCAUUGAGGGUGAAAAAGAGAUCCAGAUUUAACACUUCCCCAGCCCUCCUCUCACCCAGACCCUCAGUUCCCUCUUCUGUAAAGUGGAGGUUUCACCUUGCCCCCUCUAGGGCUGGUUAGAGGAUUUUGAGGUCCCUGAAUGACAUCCCCCUCUGCUGGCAAUCUGUGACUUGUCCUUCAAGACUUCCCUAGUUGGCACC